rnacentral:lncRNA from 1 species
GGCUUUAUCAACAAAUCUAAAUUUUAUUGUAAAUAAAUUAUUCAUUUCUAUCACCAGUCUAUAUACGGUGUUCUCGAAUUGUGGACCGCUACCUGAACAGCCAAAAUAAGUGCACCGAAUUACGGACCGUACGAGAGAUAGAUUUAGUUUAUUUUGAGCUGUCUUGAAAGGUGUGAUCUUGAAAAUGAUAUAAAGAAAUUAAAUAGACAAAUUUUGAGUACGGCAAGCAAACGGAAAGCCAUAGAGGAUAUCACAGAACGGCCAUCAAAAACUAUCUAUUCUGUAAUAAUGGAAAACAGUGAUGCUAUGAAUUUUUUGACAAGAAAAGACAUUACCUACGUAAGAAAUAAUAUGUAUUACAAGAGACGUCAAAUCCAACCGCGUUUACCAACCUGUAUUUCCGAUGCGUUAGAUAUUUUACAAACA